AAAAAAAAAAAAUCUAAGUAAAUUGGUACUUUUGCCACUAUUAGUGUCAAUAGUGCCAUGCACGAAUGGUACUAGUGACCAGAAGAGAGAGUAUAUGGCACUAAUAGCUCUAAUAUGGUCAUAAGUACUAUUCGUGCAACACCAUAAAUAGAGAAUCUAAACCCUACGAGGAAGUGUUCAAAAUAGACAUAAUAACUACACUCAUCUAUAUAAGACAACACAGUAGCAUCAACACUAAGUAUAUGACACUAUUGAUACUAAUAUGGUCACUAAUAUCAUUCGUGCAUGGCACUAUUGGCACUAUAGUGCCAAGUGUACUAAUUUAUUUGAUUUUUUUUUUGUUGUUGGUACUUUUGUCACUAAUAGUGCCAUGUGUACUUAACCUGUGCGCAAAUCCGAAUUCGGUCCGCCCUAAUUAAGGGUAAAAUAAUCUUAAAAUGUAAAAAAUUAUCAGAUUUUAUGUUUUUAAAACUAGUGGUCAAAAUUUGUGUUUUCUUCUUCAAAAUGACGACAUGAAUAUAUUGUUUUUUUUUCAAAAUUGCUUCCACACUGAUCAUAUAGAUAUAUGCAGCAAAUAGUUACUUUUGGAUAAUGGGCCGAAUCCAAGAAUUGCUUCUUGGACUACGGAGGCCCAAAUUUAAUAGGCCGAACUCAAGCUUGCGUUCUUUCUGGUCCUUUCUCAGUUGCGUAUAUGAGUUGAAACUCAUCGAAAUAAUUCUUCGAAAUAAAAAGAAAACUAAACAGAACCAUAUUUCAAAUACUAUGUUUCAUAAAUCUUGAUCCUUCUGAUGAAUAUGGCCUUAUACGCUUUUGAGGUGCAUUGGUUGUUGAUUUUAUUUCAGAAAUUCAAGUUUUUAAACAAAUUACAAUAUAAUUAUCUUGUGAAGUAUGGUGCUUAUUUGGUUGUUUUGAUGAAUUCGUAGGAAACUCACAAUAUAAUUGAAUUUGGUCCGCUACAAAUUUAAAGAAAAAAAAACAAAUUCAAAAAUAAAUUACAAAUGACGAAGAGCAUACCAAAAUACUCCAUUCGUUUAUGAUAAAAUUUUCUAACAGGAAGUGACACGUGCUUUAAGACAACGUUAUUUGAGUGUAUUGAGAGUGUUGAAAAUAUGUUAUAAUUAAUAUUAAGAGUUGUGAAAAGAUAAAAAGUAAGGGUAAUGAGGUAUUAUAAAUGGUGGGGUAUAAUUUAAAAAUAAAAUGUGUAUUUUUUUUGUAGACGUUCUAAAAACGAAAAAUGAGAAAUUUUAUCAUGGAGGGAUGAUUAGGCGUAUUUAUACGCAUUUAUUUGGGCGCUUUUGGUAUGAUUUAUGUGCUUAAUUCGUGUUAAAUAUCAUAUUUAGGAUAUGAAUUCUGAUCUUAUAGAAAUUUUGAUGGUGUUUGAUAGGUUUUGAAGAAAAGAUUUUGGUUUUGAGAAGAAUUUUGAAAGCUUGAAGUUAUGAAGGAUGAAGGAUUCCCAAACAUCUAUUGAGCAGGACACUUACAAACUGAAAUUUGAGUUAAUUGGAAUUGCUGGAGUGGCGAAAAUAAUUGAGAGCUGUUGGGCUACCAUUGUUUUAUUUUGUGGGCUUUCAGACGCCACUUUUUGUUUAUGUUAAUUAGAUUAGGUUAGUUAGUUUUUUAAUUUUGGCCUUAUGCGCCACUUUAGUUAGAUUAGAAUUAGGUUAGUUUAUUAACAUAUAUAUUAGCUUUAGAUACACUUUUGAGAGAUCACAAGUCAGACGACACCUUGGAGCAGAUUGGACGCAAGUUUUGGGUUUUAUUCAAGUUUUAUUCUUUCAUCAUUCUUUGCAAUUUAUUUAUUUAUUUGCUUUGUUUAAUUAUUAUGUUUUCUAGCUAAAUUCGUUUAUUCCGGCAUCGAUUAGGGAAGCACUAGCAAGAUUAUUCUGUGAGAUCUAAUUUGUUCUUAUACUUUAUUUUAUACUUGCAUCUGCGAUUCUUUGUGUUUAAUGAUAUUAAUUGUUUUAAUCCAUUAGAUAGUUGCAAAUAUUUAUUGGGUUAGAAUUAAUUAUAUAGCCAAUUGAACCGGCCCAUCCGUAAUUGUGGUUUAGGUUUGAUUAGUUGUAAAUUGACACAUCAGGGUCAAGGGAAAAGCAGUCUUAAUUCAAUAAUCCUGCGUCAGAGUUUAUUGGUUUUGAAUCGGGUUUCUGUAGAUAAUAAUGUUGUCGGCUCAUUAAACCUAUAGAGCGUCUCUUACGGUUGUCAGUCGAUUAGGGUAGUAAUUAGUGAAGCGUCUUCCUGGUUACCGAAUAAUUAAGGAGAAAUAAGAUCACGUCAGAAGCGUCUUCGGUGGUUAUAACCAAUGUUUGAAAGUACGUUUUGUGAAAUGAAACGUUUUUCGUCCGCCUCACGAAACGUAAGUUUCAAAACGGUGUGAGGCGUAAAAAAAACGGAAAUCAUAUAAAAAUAGAUAAAUUAUAUCUAAUAUCAUAAAACACUUAAAAACAUAGCAAACAUUGCAAAACACAUAAAAACCUAACAAAUAUUCCAAAACUCAUAAGUUCUAAACUACUAAUAAGUCAUUAAGUUUUUAAAAUUUUAAAUGAAAAUCAAAAAAAUCAUCAAAUGUCCAAGAAGUGUAAAGUAUCCCCAUCUCCAUCUCCAUCUCCAUCUCCAUCUCCAUCUCCAUCUCCAUCUCCAUCUCCAUCUCCAUCUCCAUCUCCAUCUCCAUCUCCAUCAUAUUCAUCUUCUUCAUCCUCAUCAAUCAGUCCACGGUUCCCACCUAUAUCAUCAUAUAAUCUAAAUGUUAAAGUUUUUCUAGAAUAUUAUCAUGUUUCUUUAGUUAAGAAUCUAAUAAGUAUAAGUAAAGUACCUCUUUGUUUCCUCUUCCUUUGUCCGGAUGAGCUUUCUGCUUCAAUUGUGAGCGGCAAUUCAUCUUCCUCUUGGAUUGGGUUGGCUAUCCACUCAUCAUCAGAAGCCGCUUCUUCAACAACCAAUGGAUCAACAUCAUCCUUCCGUUGUUGUAUCAUCAUAUGCUUGUACUUCAAUUUUCUAUUGUACAUGAUGUACACUAAAUCGUUCAACCUCGCCGUGGUUAGACGAUUUCUUUUCUUUGUGUGCACGUGAUUGAACAUACUCCAAUUGCGCUCACAUGCGGAGGCUGAACAAGUAAGACCAAGGACUCUAAUUGCAAAUGCUUUCAGCUCCGGAACAUCAUCACCAAAAUUGUCCCACUAUAUAACUAAUAUAGAAGAAAACUAUGUAUUAACUAUUUAUGAUAAGAAAUUAAAUUAAAAGACUAAAUUAUUUAAUAAUACCUGGUGGACGUGUCAUGUACGAUGACAAAGAUGCUCGAAUGCCAAAUAAUCCUUUCUUGUAAUUGUAGUCAUCGAGUUGAGCAUCAAUCUUGGAGUAAGUAUUUUGAUUCGGAACUAGCCGAUCUAAACACUUGUACAAUCCACUCUUGAUCUCAGAAUGUGUGGAAACAUUUGGACUCCACCUAUAUCGAGGAUUGAGAUAGUAUCCAGUUGCAUGCAAGUCUCUAUGCAACUGAGUAUCCCACUUCUCAUCAAUGAUGUUCCAAAUUUCUUUGUACGAAGCCACGUUUCCCUCCAAGUUCAUGGCUAUCUUCUCCUUCGCCUCAUCCAUAGCCCCAUAAAUAUAGCCCAUAGCUGGUGUCCUCUCGCCAUCAACUAUCCUCAGAACAUCGACAAGUGGCUUAGUGGUUUUAAUGGAGUAAACCACACUAGGCCAAAAUGUGUUGUCGUUCAUAACAACUUUCUUCACUUCCUUUCCAUCAGCAUUUUUUGCCCAAGCACAUCCUUGCCAUUCUCUUGAUACAAACAUUGCUUGCAAUGGUUGCUGUAAUGCAAGCAUGCUCUCUAAUGUCAAGUAGGCAGUGGCGAAUCGUGUCGCAGCGGGUCGAAGCAAAUCUUUUUUUGCCGUCUUUCUAAAAAGAGAUAGCACCCAUUGAUGAUUGUAUAUGAAGUUGGUCACCUUCUUCGCCUUGAGUAAUGCAUUUUUAUGUUGCGGCAACUCACCAAUCUUCUCAAGCAUCAAGUCGAUGCAAUGUGCUGCGCAUGGAGUCCAAUACAAUUGUGUCCGCUUCUCCAUUAGCUUCCUCCCAGCUGCUUUGUAAUUGGCUGCAUUGUCAGUCAGAAGUUGGAUGACAUGCUCUUCACCAACUUCCUCCACAACAACAUCAAGCAACUCAAAAAGUUUUUGAGCAUCCUUCACACAGUCUGAUGCGUCAACCGUUCUCAAAAAAACAGUGCCAUGCUGAUUGUUCACCAAGAAGUUGAUUAGACUUCUAUUUCUCAUAUCCGACCAACCAUCGGAUAAUAUGGAAACACCAGUCUUCUUCCAGGUUUCUUUGAUCUCAUCCACCGUUUUCUCGGUCGUCUUCUUCUCCUCAUCUAGUAUCCAAUUCCUUAGCUCAUGCAUAGAUGGAGGCUUUAGUCCUCGACCAUAAUUUCCAAUUGAUUGUACCAUACUCACAAAUGAUGCACUUGUUGCCGCAUGAAAUGGGAUAGCAUUCUCAUAAAAGAAUCUUCCAAUGUCUAAGCAAACUUGAUUUCGGUGCUCUUUGGGCUUUGCUGGAGGUAUUUGUCCAUCCUUGUCGCUCGCCAUAUACCGAUCCAUGGGACCUCUUACUCCUCUAGUAGAAAUAGUACCACUAGGGUUAGACCCUACAUUCUCCGAUAUAGGAGCAUUGUCAGUGCCACCGCCACUGCUGCCACCACCUACAAUAGGAGCAUCGCCACCUUGGUAAUACGAUCCAUUAUCGACCAUCUCUUUAAAAUUUCUUUGCUUCUUGUGCUUGUUGUCAGUGAAGGCACUCAAGUACAUCUGUAUCUCUUUCUUCACAUCAUCAGGUACCUUUCGACAUAUCGCCACUUCAUUAUGAUUGCAUGCAAGGUGAUCCUUCACUCUUUUUACACCUCCAGAAAUUUCCUUGCUGCAAAAUUUGCAUCUGAAGUAUUUGUAUUUAACUGGUUUGUCGGUGGGUGGAUCGAUUUCAUCAGCGUAUUUCCAAGCGGGGUCUGUUCUUCUGUUAUUACUGCCACUCAUUGUCUAUCUGCAUGAUAAAAAAUAAUAAAAUAAAUUAAAUGCACAUAACUGUAAUAAAAUAAAGAAUUUAAUAAAUAAAGAUGGUUUUUUAGAAAGUUCAUAAUCUGCCUGGAUUACUUAUUAUUUUAGAUAGCAUUAACAAAACAAUUGUAUAGUGAAUUAAUGAAAGAUGCUUUUUUAACUUUUUAUAGUGGAAUACACAUAAAUUAAUAAAAUAAUGCAUUGAUUUUAUAGUGGAAUACACAUAAAUUAUAGUGUCAGAUUUUAAAUAAUCAUGUAGUGGAAUUUUGCAUGUCUCGAGAAUGAUGCAUGCAAUACACAUAAAUUAUAUAUAAAAGUGAAAACAAAUGAAUCAAAAAUAAAGUAUUACAACUCACCGCAAAAAAAAGAUGGUUGCUGCUGCCCUGCUCCUCGAAGUUGCUGCUGUCAAGACUCAAGAGUUGGAGAAUGGAGAGGAGGAGACGAGAGGGAGGCUGCUUUGCUGAAGGGUUUUUUUUUUCAUAUUUAUAAACCUAGUAUUUUAGAGUAUUACCAUAAUUAAAACUNNNNNNNNNNNNNNNNNNNNNNNNNNNNNNNNNNNNNNNNNNNNNNNNNNNNNNNNNNNNNNNNNNNNNNNNNNNNNNNNNNNNNNNNNNNNNNNNNNNNNNNNNNNNNNNNNNNNNNNNNNNNNNNNNNNNNNNNNNNNNNNNNNNNNNNNNNNNNNNNNNNNNNNNNNNNNNNNNNNNNNNNNNNNNNNNNNNNNNNNNNNNNNNNNNNNNNNNNNNNNNNNNNNNNNNNNNNNNNNNNNNNNNNNNNNNNNNNNNNNNNNNNNNNNNNNNNNNNNNNNNNNNNNNNNNNNNNNNNNNNNNNNNNNNNNNNNNNNNNNNNNNNNNNNNNNNNNNNNNNNNNNNNNNNNNNNNNNNNNNNNNNNNNNNNNGCCUGAGCUCUCCAAAAUUUGCUCUCUUCAUCUCGAAAACCUAAAUCUCCUGCAAAACAUAAUACACCAUAAAACGCACCAAUUUCCAGAAGAUUAUCUUAAAAUACGCACAUACAAACCCUUGAAAAUAGAGCAAUUUAAGCAUAAAUCACAAAGGUAUUAGUCCCUCAACUUGCAUGCAUAGAAUCUUACUUGAGCCUAAUAGUAAGCCGUCUAGGGAUUCUCAAAGAAAAUUGAACCCUAUCAUGAAAGAAGUUGUGCUUAAAGAAAUUCUUAAAUUGCUUGAUUUAGGGAUUAUUUAUCCGAUUUCUGAUAGUGCAUGGGUCAGUCCUGUUCAUGUGGUUCCUAAGAAUUCUGGUUUUCAAUUGGUCAAGAAUGAGAAUAAUGAGUUGAUUCCCAUGAGGCUUCAAACUGUUUGGCGUAUGUGCAUUGAUUUUAGGAAGUUGAAUGAUGCCACUAGGAAAUACUCCCUCCGUCCACUAAAAAUAUGCCACUUUACUUUCGGCACGGGUUUUAAUAAAAUGUGAGUGACGUUGGUAGUGGAGUAAGGGUUCCACUUUAAAUGUGAGUGGAAUGGUGUGGACCCUACUACUAAAAAUGGAUGUGACAUAUUUUUUGUGGACGGACGAAAAGGAAAUUGUGGCAUAUUUUUGGUGGACGGAUGGAGUAUCAUUUUCCAUUACCUUUCAUUGAUGAGUUGGCUGGUAAGGAAUUCUUUUAUUUUCUUGAUGGCUACUCUGGAUAUUUUCAAAUUUUUGUAGCUUAGGAAGAUCAAGAGAAAACGACUUUUAAUUGUCCUUUUGGCACUUUUGCAUGACGUCGUAUGCCGUUUGGAUUAUGUAACGGAUCCUGGUACUUUUCGGUGUUGUAUGAUGAGCAUAUUUUCUGACAUGAUUGAGAGUUGCAUAGAAAUUUUCAUGGAUGAUUUUACUGUGCAUGGAGACUCUUUUGACCAUUGCUUGACUAAUCUUGAGCAAGUUUUGCAGAGAUGUGUCAACACUAAUUUGGUAUUGAACUUUGAGAAAUGUCAUUUUAUGGUGAGACAGGGGAUUGUUCUUGGGCAUGUGAUUUCUGCAAGAGGAGUAGAAGUUGAUAUGGCGAAAAUUGAAGCCCGUAAGAAUAAGUUGAGGAGCCAAGCAAAAUACUUCAUAUGGGAUUAUCCUUAUUUGUGGAAGACUUGUGCGGAUCAAGUGAUACGACGUUGCAUCCCUGAUGAGGAGAUUCAUUCCAUUUUGAAUUUUUGCCAUGCUCAUGCUUGUGGAGGUCACUUUGGUCCCAAAAGAAUGGCACAUAAGAUUCUUGAUUGUGAUUUUUAUUGGGAAACUAUUUUGAAGGAUUCUUACAAUUUCUGCAAAAAUUGUGACAAGUGCCAAAGAACAGGUAAUAUUUCUUCUCGCAAUGAAAUGCCUNCGUGCUUUCUUAGGCCAUGCAGGUUUUUAUAGGCGUUUCAUAAAGGACUUCGCGAAGAUUGCUCAACCUCUCACUAGGUUGCUUUAUCAAGAUGUGUCUUUUGUGUUCGAUGACAAGUGCAAGAAGGCCUUUGAUUUGUUGAAGAGUAGACUCACUUUGGCCCCCAUCAUUCAGCCACCAAUUUGCGGAGAACCUUUUGAAAUCAUGUGCGAUGCAAGUGACUUUGACGUUGGAGCAGUGCUAGGGCAGAAAGUCGGGAAAGAGAGCCAUGUGAUUUACUAUGCUUCCAAAACUCUCAACCCGGCUCAAUGCAAUUACACAACCAUGGAGAAGGAAGUUUUAGCCAUCGUUUUUGCUUGUGAAAAAUUUAGAUCCUAUUUGAUUGGUUCUAAAGUUGUUGUGUACUCUGACCAUGCGGCUCUUAAGUAUUUGCUCUCUAAAAAAGAAUCUAAGCCUCGCUUGAUCCGUUGGAUUCUUCUUUUGCAGGAAUUUGACUUGCAGAUUAAAGAUAAAAAGGGAGCCGAGAACUUGGUAGCUGACCAUUUGAACAGACUGCAGACUGUGUCGGACGGUAUGCCCAUACCAGACGACUUUCCAGACGAACAACUCUUGCACAUUGACGGUAAUACUCCUUGGUAUGAUGAUUUGGUUAAUUUUCUAACUGCUUGAAUUUUUCCUAAGGGAAUGGAAACAGCCCGUAAGAACAAGUUGAGAAGCCAAGCAAAGUAUUUCAUAUGGGAUGAGCCCUAUUUUUGGAAAACUUGUGCUGAUCAAGUGAUACGAUGUUGUAUCCCUGAUGAGGAGAUUCAUUCCAUUUUGAAUUUUUGCCAUGCUCAUGCUUGUGGAGGUCACUUUGGUCCCAAGAGAACGGCACGUAAGAUUAUUGAUUGUGGUUUUUAUUGGAAAACUAUUUUUAAGGAUUCUUACAAUUCACAAAAAUUGGACAAGUGCCAAAGAACGAAUAUUUUGCUCACAAUGAAAUGCCUCUCCUACUCUGGUUUGUGAAAUCUAGACGUUUGGAAAAACUUGAAUUAUCUGUGAAAGUCUAGUUGGAAUUGAGCAUCAUGAUACCAUCUUUUCAUUAGUUUUAUACUGAUUUUUGCUUGAGGACAAGCAAAAGGCUAAGCGUGGGGGGUUGAUUUGUGCCUAUUUGUUCAUAUUGUGGGGGAGUUGUGAGUGCAUUUUGGUCUUAUAUCUUAUGAGUAUUGGUGUUUUGAAUGACAAUUACCUAUUCUUUGUAGGAAUUUGUGGAAAUAAAGGUAAUGUCUAUAUUUAGUAUUUUCUGGGAGCAAAAGAAGGCGGAGUACGUGUGGCGCAUGCGCCCGUGUACUCACGCUUACAUCCGAGUCCGAGUCUUAUUCCAGAUUGCCGAUGCCUUGGAGAGCUCGCCGUGUAGAUCGCCGAUCUCUCAACACUGCUAGGUCGAGGUCUUCAUCUCCUCGCCACUCCCUCGGCGAUCUCCCAAUCUAGGUCGCCGAGGACCUGUACUGAGCUCGGCGAGGCCUUCAUCUCCUCGCCACCUUCACGCCGCUUCAGCAGCCGCCUCCCCUCGCCGAGCCUCCAGCCUCCCAUCGCCGAGGCAGCCUCUCAAGCCGCCGAGGAGCUCCAGCCUCGCCCAACUGCUCGCCGAGGAGCAGCCUCCUCGCCCAACUGCUCGCCGAGGAGCAGCCCCCUCGCCGCACGCUCUCGCUCUUCACUCCGCGCCGAGCUGCAGCCCCCCUCGCCGAUCCAGCCUCCCAUCGCCGAGCUGCAGCCUCCCCUCGCCGAUCCAGCCUCUCAGCGCCCAGGCUUGGCCCUGCCUCGCCGAGGCACCUCAUUCCCUCGCCCAAGCGAGCCCUCGCCGCGUGCCAAGGCUCUCGCCCGUGUGUAACCCAAGCUUCACCCUAUUUUAGUCUCUUUUGCUCCAGUUAGAGAUUGCCACGUGUCCCGGAUGCAGUGUUAAAGAAGCUAUUGGCGUGUUUUAUUUUUGGAUAUAAAAGGGCGAGACUUCUCAAUUCUAGGGUUAUCAAUCAUUCAUUCUUCCGCUCUCCAAAAAGCGGCAGUUCCAUUUCUAGACGCAGUUCAUAGUUAGGGUUUCCUGUUUUCUUAGUUAGGGUUAUUUUUGCGUUGAGAAUUUAUCCUUACGCCUAGAUAAUUCGUAGCUAGAGAUUUAUUUUCAGGAUCGGCUUUACUGUAAGUGAUUUUAUUCUUGCCUAGAUAAUUUCUCGCUUAUUGAUUUCACUAGUAUUCAUUAUUUUCAUUCACGCUCUAGAUAAAUUUAUUGUGCUUAAUCAUUUAAUUCAUUGCCUAGAUAAUUAAUGUUUACUGAAAUGGUUUAUGUUUGUAAUAAUUGCUCUUAGUUUAAAACCUUAGAUAAUCUUACGCCGUUUAAUCUGUGCCUAGAUAAUUUACAUGCCUUCUAUAAAUUCUGCAUUAGAUAAUUUUACAUGCUUUAUUUAUUUCAUGCCUAGGUAAAUUUACAGAGCUUAUUUAAUUUCUGUUUUAGUUAAGAGUGUGCCAGCGUGAAACCGAUUAGAGUGUUUAGGAUUUAUUGCUUUUUGUGUGUGACACGAUUAGGUGCCCUGUUGAAUCUUCCUUGAGAGACGACUUGGGUUAGCUUGCUCACUGCAAUUGACCUCGUACGAUUGCGAGUCAAUUCACUAGUGUUUGAGUUGAGUCAUUACCCACAUAAUUAGUGUUGUUUUAAAUUACUUUUAGUAAUUGUUAAUCAAGCCGAGAAGAACUUUUAACUGAUCUGCUUAGUACAGUCCGCUGAUUCCGUCGGCACUGCCUUAAAUCAGCAACGCUUCGACUGAUUAGCUCGACACUCAUCUUCAGUCCUCGUAGUCUUCGCUCAAAAUGCACAAUUACAAAACAGACUCUAAAUUAAAUUCAGCUCUGAUACAAAGCCUAUGAUUGAUCACAAAAUCAAGAUAUGAAUCAAGUAAUUCCAGCGUUAGUGAAAUUCAAGCUACAAGAGAAAUCGAAUUGGAUGUAGCAAAAAGUGCAUAGACCUGAGAGUAACACGGAAUCCUUGAUUGGCCCAUCGAGCCGCCCGCCACUGCCACACCUUUAAGGAGAAGAGCCGCCGAUCUGCUACGUGCCACUCUUUGUUGUUUCCCUCACCCCAAAAACAGAUGAUUUUUCCUAAAUCCUUGCAAAUCCCUAAAUUAUUCGAGGAGAUCUGCCCGUGGUUGGAGGCGAACAAGAGAGAGAAAUUUAGGGAAGGCAGAGGUAGAACACGCAGUGGAGGGCACGACGGAGGAUGGAGACAGAGGAUGUGGCGGACACGGCGGAGGCAGAGGCAGUGGCUGGCGACUAGAGAUGGCAAUCUACGCGCGGGUAACGGAUAUCCGUAAAAACCCGAACCUAUUAGGGUGGGUUUGGAUACCAUUUGAUAUCCACGGAUAGUUUCGUGUUGCAAUUCACUAUCCAUUUAGUUCGUGGGUAUGAGUUUGGAUACUUACUAACCAUACCCGCGAAACCCGUUUACCCGCGAAAAAUACCCGCCAAUUACCCGUCAAUUAUCCGUGAAUUACCCGUCAAAUAUCCACAAAAAAUUCCAUUAUGGGCUUUGAAUAUAUAUUUUGAGAUUAUGGGCUAGCAUAUUAUAUCUUAAAAUUGGCCCAAACAGAAACUAAACUAAGGCCCAAAUUCUAAUAGUCUAAUUUAAAUUUGAAUUUUGUUGGAUUUUCUAUUUUAGUUGAUGAAUUUGAAUUUAAAUAUUGUUCUUUGUGGAUUUCAAUAUAUGGAUUUGAACUAUGUUAUUUGUGUUGAUUUUUUUUCUAUUAAAUUUGUUUUAAAUUUAUAUUUAAAUUGUGUUUCAUGAGUAUCCGGCGGAUAGUAGGUGGCGAGUAUCCAACGAAUAGCGGGUGACGGAUACCCAUCGGAUAGCGGGUUCGUGGAUACCCGACGGGUAGCGGGUAUCCGCGGGUAGCAGGUUUGGAUACCAUUUGAUAUCCAUGGAUAGUUUCAUGGUUAAAAACCACUAUCCAUUUAGUUCGUGAGUAUGGGUAUGGAUAGUCACUAUCCGUACCCGUCGUACCCGAUUGCCAUCCCUACUGGCGACUAGUGGAGAGAGCAGAUGAAAUGUGAGGGAGAGAUGAGAGAGCAGCUGAGAGAAGAUAGAAUUGAUGAGGUGAAUAUUUGGGUAGAAUAUAGGGUUUUAUUCAACUAUUGAUUAUGCAAUUUACACUUAAUUAUGUUCCAAAAAGGGAACGAGCCAAUUAAGUAACGUGAGACGGCUCAAAAAUGAAUAUGAGCCAUGAAUAUUGGGACCGAGGGAGUAAUAUACAUACAUAUAUGAAUCUGUAGCUAGAGAGAGAGAUGGAGUUUCACCGCAUAAACUCGGCACCAACAAAACCACUCCCCAAUCCCCAUUGCCCUUUCUAGCUAAUACAUUUAGGAUCAGUAUCACCGAAUUCGAGAUACAAUAAUUUUAUUGGACAAAUUACAGAAAUUCAAACAGAAAAAUCUCAGUACGUUUUGAGUCUGUGAGCUCUGUUUCUUUCUUCGCCUUCUCCACCUUGUCUCUUUCAGUCUUUCUCCCUCCGUCUACCUCUCACCACCUCCACUUUGCAUGUCGUUUUACUUAGAUUCCUGACGCGUUUUGCUUCUCAUUGCAUUUCCACUCCUUUUUCCAUAUUCAUUCAAAAUACUAAUUAUUAUUUGGAUAUAAAAUAUAUUUUUUUAUAAGAGUAGUUUAUUCUCCAUUUCUCAACUUCCCCAAUUUGUGCGACUCCUCCACACAACCGUCAGUUUUUCUUUGCUGGCACGAAAAUAAGAUAUUCACAAAAAGAGUUGUCGCAUUUUUAUUAAUUCAAUGAAGGGAAAUGAAAGAUAUGAGCGGCGGUGGGGCUCCGACGGAAAUCCAGCCAGCGGAGGAUCCUCGCCGGCGACGGAGUUCUCCGCCGAUUCGGCGGCGGAGUUCGUCGAAGUCACGCUCGAUCUCCAAGACGACGACACGAUCAUUCUCCGCAGCGUCGAGCCAGCCACCGCGAUCAGCAUCGACGGUAAUGACGUUAUCUCCGGCAUCGAGACUCCUGCGCCGUCGUCUGCGUCUCGAUCUCCGACCAUGCGCCGGAGCACUUCGAACAAGCUUCUCCAGUUCUCUCAGGAGCUCAAGGCGGAGGCGCUGGCGAAGGCGAAGCAGCUGUCGCAUGAGCUGAGGAGGUUCUCGUGGAGCCACGGGCACGCGUCGCGGAUACUCUCCGGCGCCGGCGCCGGCGCAGGGAACGGCGGAUUGGACUCCGCCAUGGCGGCGAGGGCGAUGCGCCGCCAGCGCGCGCAGCUCGAUCGGACGCGCUCCGGCGCUCACAAGGCGCUGCAAGGACUUAAAUUCAUCAGUAACGGCAGAAACAACCGCGUUGAUGCGUGGAACGAAGUUCAGAUCAAUUUCGAGAAGCUCGCCAAAGACGGUUACCUUCAUCGCGCUGAUUUUUCGCAAUGCAUAGGUUAAUUAAUCUCCUUUCAAACGAUAUUUUUCUUAAUUUCUUUGAUAGUAACAAUUACUUAUUUUUCAAUAGGGAUGAGAGAUUCGAAGGAAUUUGGGCUGGAGUUGUUCGAUGCAUUAAGCAGAAGAAGAAGAUUGAAAGUCGAUAAGAUCAGCAGAGAUGAGCUUUACGAGUUCUGGUCACAGAUUACUGAUCAAAGUUUUGAUUCGAGGCUCCAGAUUUUCUUCGACAUGUACGUAUUAAUCUUUAUUUAAUCUUAAUUAAGUAAUUAAGGUACAGUAAAAGUAGAAAUCGAUUUCAAAAUUUAUUCAAACAAUACAAUAUUGGAAAUAAUGUCGGAAGCUUUGGUUUGCCCCAAAAUUACUAUCGCUGUCAUAAAAAAAUAAUGAGGGGAAAAAGGUUAUAAACUAUCGAGCAAUUAUCCGUGAUGAAUUAUGUAUCAUUUUAAUUAAUUUGAAUUUAUCAAUGAUCGUGUUGCAGGGUGGACAAAAAUGAGGAUGGUCGGAUCACCGAAGAGGAAGUUAAGGAGGUAACAUUAAUUUCGUUCGUUUUGUUGGAUUGAUAAUUUAUCUACUACAAUAAAUAAUGGAUAAUCAUCACUCCUCAUCAAGAAAUUUUUAAAUUAAUGAAGAGAUGAUUAUGAGCUACAGCACAGUCUGUCAGAUUCGGUAGAAUUAAAUAAUAGAGCUGACCAUUUUCAUAGGAAACAAUUAAUUAGGUACACAUGGAGGAAUAUAAUAUAAUUCUGUUGUAUAUGUAAUUACCAUGAAUAUUAUUUUUCAUGCAAUUGUAAGAUUUAAAUCAAUUAGGGAUAGGCGUGAGGGAUGACCACAUUAUAAAUAUUUCUGUAUCACCAACUCCAAUAUAUGCUUAUACGUAUACAUAUUUUUUUAUUUUUUAUUUUGAGAAUUACAAUAUAUAUAUUUUUUAUACGUAUGCAUAUUAAACAUGUAAAUUUUGACGGUUAAUUAAAAAUAAUAGGUAUGCCGAAAUUGUGAAACGAAAUUACGCAGCUCUAAUUAUGAGAUUGAUUAAGUAUCCGAGUUGGUAAUAAUUAUUUAAUUUUAUCAAUAAAUACAUGAAACUUAUACUUCUGUGUUUAUAAUUUGGUGGGAUUUAUUUAUGUACACAUGUAUGUCUCAAUAUAUAAGAUCACACGUAUUUAUUUGAAGUUGAACUAGAAAUAUUGUUAUUGAGAAAGUCAAAGUAUGCUACGUCAAAAUUCUCUAAAAUGCACCGACUUUUAAAUAAAAAUUAAAUCAACUCUGGGGUUGGUGGGGGUAAACUUGUACGUCUGAAUGAAUGAAAAAUUGACAGUACAUAAUUCUUUACUAUUUUCAUGUACUUUACACUUUUUUUUUCUUUCUAUUUUUAUUCAUUUUUUNNNNNNNNNNNNNNNNNNNNNNNNNNNNNNNNNNNNNNNNNNNNNNNNNNNNNNNNNNNNNNNNNNNNNNNNNNNNNNNNNNNNNNNNNNNNNNNNNNNNNNNNNNNNNNNNNNNNNNNNNNNNNNNNNNNNNNNNNNNNNNNNNNNNNNNNNNNNNNNNNNNNNNNNNNNNNNNNNNNNNNNNNNNNNNNNNNNNNNNNNNNNNNNNNNNNNNNNNNNNNNNNNNNNNNNNNNNNNNNNNNNNNNNNNNNNNNNNNNNNNNNNNNNNNNNNNNNNNNNNNNNNNNNNNNNNNNNNNNNAUCAAGAUCUAUGAUUGAUUCGUAAUCCUGUUGGAUGAAUUUAUGGUCCUGAGUUCGAAUCCCAGAGAUAGCAAAAAUUUAUUUUUCACAAUUCAUACCUUUAUACAGUGAAUUCAUACGUGUUCUACAUAAAAUUCAUACAUUAAAAAUUGCUCUUAUUUCUUAUUUUAAGAUAUGCUCUUACGGUAUAUGAACAUACAUGCAUGUUUAUUAUGUAAGGGAUCAAGAUAAUGACUUGUGUAAUCUAGCACGUUAAGUUUGAAUAAUUUUGAUUUAUAUACCCUGCAGUUCUAGAAAAUUGAUGAGUUGCCUCGAAAGCUAACACUCUACUUACAUACCUUAUCUUAGUAUUUAUUCAUUGCUUCUUCACCAACCACAGCACACAGAAUGAAAAAUGGUUGCAACUAAAACUAUCAUAUGUUGGACUUUAGUUACCAAUUUCAUUUUAAUAUUUAGAAAUGAGUAGUUAGAGGACAAAUGACUGAUCUCACAUCCUUUUAACAUUACAGUUAUCGUGUUGUUCAACUAUACACGUUGAAUUAAAUACCAUAUGCGUUAUGCAUGUAUAAAUUAACAUAUAAAAUUGUUGUUAAUUAAAUUUCAAUAUCUAGCUAGUCUCUGAUAAAGUCAAAAUGGAGAAGUUGGGGGAGUCGGGGAAAUUAGGAAAAAAUGAUGUUAAAAGAACUAAAAAAACAUUAUUUAAAUUAAAGUAUGAUUAUAUCUAAGGAUCAAAAGUGGUUGACAAUAUUAUAUGCAUUAGUCCUUAAUUAUCUUGUUAAGGCAUAGCUAGUAUGAAUUGUCUACGUUGAUAGCUCAACGACCCUACCUUUCGCUUAUUGGCUUAAUGUAUUUAAUUUUCAGAUAAUUAUCUCUAGUUGCGGGUUUGUCAAAAAUAUGAAAGAAAAAAAAAAGUUUGCUGCUUAUGUUUUACAGGUGUAGGGCAUAAAUCUUGUAACUAUUUGUGCAUAGCCAGUGGGUUAACUGUUGUACAGUAAAAUACUUCAUAAUUUUCAAAGUUCUUUUUAAGAGAAAAAAGGGAAGGAAAAAAAAUGCAAAAUAGUAGGUGUUUUAGAGAUUUAAGAAAAAAACAAGUUAAAUCUUCCAAUCUGAUUCUUAACAAGAACAAUGUUAUAAUGACAACAAGAAGUAGAUAAACCCAUAAAAAAGAAGAAAAAGAAGAUAAGAGAGGAAAAAAACAAAAAAAAAAGUCAAUUCACUACUAUAUUGUGAGGAUAGUUUUGGUAAAUGGGUAAUCCAUGAGUAGCUUUCUUGCCAACUGUUGCUUUAAAGAAUUAAUCAAUUAAUCAAUUACCUAAUUCCAAUUAGAUGAUAAGGUGAAGUUAAUGAAGAAAAUUAUAAAAAAGAUGCAACUGGAAGUUAUAGUACGUAAUGAGCCUUGAAAAGUUAGCUCGUUAAUUGCAAUGUAGAAGUAUUAGUUAGUAACACAUAUCACUUUUAUUAUCGUGGAGAUAGGUAGCUUCUUAUGAUACAGUCUCGAUUUUUCGCUAUGCAUAAAUACCGCACGUCAUGUAAUUAUAUCUAUUAUUUUAAUAAUAUUUUUUAUAAAAAUAAAUUUUAUUAUAAUACUAUAAGUCAUACUUAAUUUUUAUUUUUAAAAAUAAAUUUUAUAAAAGUAUAUACC
rnacentral:lncRNA from 1 species